UUUUAUUCUUUAAUUAGUAAAUCAAUAUGAGAGAGUGACUGCUUGUUCCACAAGUUUACAGUUUACUACCACAAGGAGUAAGGAGAACACAAAUAUAAUUGCAUUAUGCAUACCUUGGCACUUGGCAGAGCAGCAGAACUGCACUACUGCAGAAGUCCGAUUUUGAUCUCUGCACGAGACUGGAAAGCAGCAGACGGCGCCGCCGUGCAGUGUCUGAGCAGCCGGCGUCCAAUGAGACUGUUGUAAGCUGGUGUUGUUUGAAGAAACCGUUUGAAGAAGAAGAAACCCAAAGGUUUUUGAAGAAACCCGUUUGAAGAAAUUCAGAAACACGUUUUUUUUUAACUUUCUUUAAUUACUAAUUAUGGUUUUUUUUUUUUUGGGGUGGGGGGAGCGGGGGAAGUUUGUUGGUAAUCAACACGUUUUUUACUUUCUUUAAUUAGAGAAUGAAUUUUGGAAAAGCAAAUUAAAAAGGUUAAUUAAAAAUCACGUGCACUUGGAGUCCAAGUCUUGGACUGGUGAAAACACUAAACUGAGCAAAAAGUAGUGUGUUUAGUGGGGUUCAAACCCCCAUCUCAAGGACGCAGAGAUGACACACCUAUCACAAGGCUAACAGCCGUGUUUGUGUGUGGGUUCGGACACAUAUAACUAUAUAUGUUUUCCAAAUUUUUUAAUUACAUGUAUAAGGUCUAUGCAAAAGUUAGUGGGUUCGGUCGAACCCCCGUUAACCACUAUAGCUCCGCCCAUGCCUUUGUCCAUCCUUUGGCCGACUUGAUCGGUGUCGAGUAGCAUGGGUGAUUAUGCAAGAUGGAAGGAGGCGCUUAGCUCUCGCGAGAAAUCAAACGCUUCCUCAACAGCUCCGUUUCCCUCUUAGUGUGUUCUUUGUGCGCGCAUAAAUAAUUAAUUAGCUUUAUAAAAUAAACCUCUGCUUAAUAGAUGUUAGCAUGGCAAUGUUACAUUUUUUUUUCACUUCUAAAAUUCAUCAAUUCUGGAGCUUUUCUGUUUUAAAGCGUUUUUAUCUAAUCAACAAUCGAAUAGAAUCACAUAAUACUAUUAGGUGUAUGACUAAAGUUUCACAUGUAAAAUAGAAAAGAAAAAAGGAGUGGAUAACAUGGGUGGAUUAUAUUUGUAUGAACAAAUUUUUUCACCUUAUUGUCAAUCAAAUCAAGAUUUGAAAUAAACGGUGAACUUCUUUUUGCUUAUUGCUCCAUGACUGUUAUAAGGGAGCUAAUGGGCUAUCGGGCGCAACCCUUAUGGAUAGACCCGAUCCAACAAAUAUUUUCAACAAUAUUAAUUGAACAUGUGCCACAAUCACUUUCUAUUCAUCUUCUGACU
rnacentral:lncRNA from 1 species